GGCGGCACAAGGUAAGGCCUACGUAACACCCGAUCCCAUUCUGCACUCGAUAUGUGAGCCUUUCGCCAUAUGUACUGAGAUUUCUCGGGAGACAUGGUAAUUGCCCAGCC
rnacentral:rRNA from 1 species